AAAGAACUAUUUUCGUUUUACAUUGAGACAAACACCAGUUUAUUAUACAACCAUACUUCUUACACUAUUUAUACAGUUUAACAUUCUCUUGCUUUACGAAUAAUUACAAUAUUCUUCCUUUUGAAAGACGUAAGUCGCCACGCAGCUCGCGGUUGAUAUACAAUCAUUCAUGAAGGCCUUCAGUUUUAUCCCGAGCAGAUCUCGGUCAUUCGUGUCCACCUCUUGCCGUUACUACGCGUCGUUCGAUUUGCGAAUAUCAUUCUGUCUUUGUUCGAGAUUGCUAUUUUAGUCCCUAUGGUAUAUUAACAUGACUGCUACGCUUUCACGAUCGCCCGCUGACUGUAUUCAAUACUAUAAAAUGUCUAACUGGUUUUAUCACGAUGUGUUCACCAUUACAUCCCAUAGAUUCCACUAUAAGACAACACGCAAAAAUUUGGUCCUUCCGAUUUUAGUGUGCCAUGCUUGCUCGUCUACUCAUGGACACCCAUAGCUUACUCGAUUGUCGGACCUUUCCUAUGCAUCCGACGAUAGCGUGGGAAGACGCUACAUGGUUGCCACUGACCAUAUUGGAUCACGCGGUAAUCCGCGCUACACUAUUGAUUCGCUCUUGUAACGUAUUCCCAACGCUUGCCUUCCUCCUCUUCUGCAUUUCACGGCAAGUUGAGACACAGUCACGCAACUACCCGCAGACAUUGAUUUUGCAAUAAAGUGGAUAUAAAGAAGAGAGUGACGCCAAUUAGCCGGAAGUCGCCUAUAUGGAACAUCUAUAUAACGCAUUUCCUUGUCUUAACCUCUUCUUUAAUGUUGUCUUCUUUCUAAUUAACAGUAAGGACGCUUAAGAAUAAAAUCAAUCAGCAUUAGACAUAUGCAUUUUCUUUAUAUCCACUUUACUUUGCGGCAGUCCGCCGCUUCAUCUAGCGGCACAAUGCGACAACUUGUCGCCAAUUCCUGAUUUACCAUACGUUUGCUGAUUAUUGAUUGAUCUUAAUUUCACGUAGUAUAUUCCCACGACAGAUAAACAUUCAUCUCUUGGAAAACUCUCUUACUAAUUUAUUUUGUCUUAUUUCAAGUUUCCCUGUCAUUAGGAUCUCUCCCCGCUGAAUUGAUAAGUGUACAACUCGCGCUUCGUAUCACCCAAAGGAAAGGAUUCAAGUUCAAAGUAAGGCUCGGAGGGCAUAGAUUUUUAUCAAACAGAAACUAACAUCGAUUGGAAUUAAUGACUCUUAAACAAUAAUUGAGCGUCAAAAAUGGCUACAAUACGAUUGUAGUACCAGAAUGAUUUUAACGAGUAAUACCAUCUUCAUAUUGAAGCUUAAAACUUUUCAAACGACCCUCGUAUAUUUGUACUUGUUCGUCUGUACAGUGCUCAAGAUUUAACCAUCAUUUAUCAGCUUUAAUUGUAACCAAAGAA